rnacentral:rRNA from 1 species
GACGUAGGGCGCGAGCGUUGUCCGGAAUUAUUGGGCGUAAAGAGCUUGUAGGCGGUUUGUCGCGUCUGCUGUGAAAUUUCGGGGCUCAACCCCGAACUUGCAGUGGGUACGGGCAGACUAGAGUGUGGUAGGGGUAGAGGGAAUUCCAGGUGUAGCGGUGAAAUGCGUAGAUAUCAGGAGGAACACCGGUGGCGAAGGCGGGUCUCUGGGCCGAUACUGACGCUGAGGAGCGAAAGCGUGGGGAGCGAACAGG